AUUGAACGCUGGAGGCAGGCCUAACACAUGCAAGUCGAGCGAGCGGCGGACGGGUGAGUAAUGUAUGGGGACUGCCCGAUAGAGGGGGAUAACUACUGGAAACGGUGGCUAAUACCGCAUACUGGCGGAUAACACCUAUGGGAUUAGCAAGUAGGUAAGGUAAUGGCUUACCUAGUCGACGAUCCCUAGCUGGUCUGAGCGGAUGAUCAGCCACACUGGGACGGAGACACGGCCCAGACUCCUACGGAGGAAGCAGUGGGGAAUAUUGGACAAUGGGCGCAAUCCUGAUGCAGCCAUGCCGCGUGUAUGAAGAAGGCCUUAGGGUUGUAAAGUACUUUCAGUCGGGAGGCGUUACCGACAGAAGAAGCACCGGCUAACUCCGUGCCAGCAGCCGCGGUAAUUC
rnacentral:rRNA from 1 species